CUACGGGUUGCUCCAGUGAGGAAUAUUGGUCAAUGGACGAGAGUCUGAACCAGCCAAGUCGCGUGAAGGAAGAAGGUUCUAUGGAUUGUAAACUUCUUUUGUAAGGGAAUAAAAAGAGUUACGUGUAACUUAUUGUAUGUACUUUACGAAUAAGGAUCGGCUAACUCCGUGCCAGCAGCCGCGGUAAUACGGAGGAUCCAAGCGUUAUCCGGAUUUAUUGGGUUUAAAGGGUGCGUAGGCGGUUGUUUAAGUCAGUGGUGAAAGUUUGCAGCUCAACUGUAAAAUUGCCAUUGAAACUGAAUGACUUGAGUAUAAAUGAGGUAGGCGGAAUGUGUUGUGUAGCGGUGAAAUGCUUAGAUAUAACACAGAACACCAAUUGCGAAGGCAGCUUACUAGGAUACAACUGACGCUGAGGCACGAAAGCGUGGGGAUCAAACAGGAUUAGAUACCCUCGUAGUC
rnacentral:rRNA from 1 species